rnacentral:rRNA from 1 species
CCUACGGGUGGCUGCAGUGGGGAAUAUUGGACAAUGGGGGGAACCCUGAUCCAGCCAUGCCGCGUGUGUGAAGAAGGCCCUCGGGUUGUAAAGCACUUUCAGUGAGGAAGAACGCCUGGUGGUUAAUACCCAUCAGGAAAGACAUCACUCACAGAAGAAGCACCGGCUAACUCCGUGCCAGCAGCCGCGGUAAUACGGAGGGUGCGAGCGUUAAUCGGAAUUACUGGGCGUAAAGCGCGCGUAGGUGGCUUGAUAAGCCGGUUGUGAAAGCCCCGGGCUCAACCUGGGAACGGCAUCCGGAACUGUCCAGCUAGAGUGCAGGAGAGGAAGGUAGAAUUCCCGGUGUAGCGGUGAAAUGCGUAGAGAUCGGGAGGAAUACCAGUGGCGAAGGCGGCCUUCUGGACUGACACUGACACUGAGGUGCGAAAUCGUGGGUAGCAAACAGGAUUAGAUACCCUGGAAGUC